GACGAGGGGUCCAAGCGUUGUUCGGAAUCAUUGGGCUUAAAGCGGGUGUAGGCGGCUCUAUAAGUCAGUAGUGAAAGCCCUGGGCUCAACCCAGGAAGUGCUUUUGAUACUGCAGAGCUUGAAUGUGGGAGAGGGUAGUGGAAUUCCAGGUGUAGUGGUGAAAUACGUAGAGAUCUGGAGGAACACCGGUGGCGAAGGCGGCUACCUGGCCCAACAUUGACACUGAGACCCGAAAGCGUGGGGAUCAAACAGG
rnacentral:rRNA from 1 species